UACGUAGGGUGCGAGCGUUUGUCCGGAAUUAUUGGGCGUAAAGAGCUCGUAGGCGGUUCGUCACGUCGGGAGUGAAAACUCGGGGCUUAACCCCGAGCCUGCUUCCGAUACGGGCAGACUAGAGGUAGGCAGGGGAGAGCGGAACUCCUGGUGUAGCGGUGGAAUGCGCAGAUAUCAGGAAGAACACCGGUGGCGAAGGCGGCUCUCUGGGCCUUACCUGACGCUGAGGAGCGAAAGCGUGGGUAGCGAACAGG
rnacentral:rRNA from 1 species